AUGUGUACUGAAAUGUCAGUCUGCUGUGUCCUUCUGUUUACUCUUGCAACUUUUGACUCAGUUUCCCUUUCUUUCCUAGUACUCUCAGGUGACUACGGAAGCAUUAGCACCCUGCAUGCUCAGGUGGCCCCCACUCCUACGGACACAGCUCUUUCACCUAUACGGUUUUCUUCUGUAUUUCCUGAUAUAAGUCUCCCCCUGACCCCACUGGAAUGCAUGGAUUUGCAUUUGUUCUUCCAGGAGUGUCUAACUGGAUGUCCUCUGCAAAUUCAUCAAAUGUGCCAUCUUUUCCAUCAUGUGGUCAUCCCUGGGAUCAUCAUCGAACAUCGUUCUCCACCACUCUGGUCCAUGGAUGGUUGUUCUCUUUUGUCCAUUCCAUCAAAUGUCCUGAACACUGUCAGAAGAGGGAAAAGGCUAAUGGAGCUGUUAAGUCUAAGUAUGACUGCCAAGAUGAAUCCAAAAAAGCCAAAGAGCCUGAGCAUGUCAGACCUUCCUGCAGCCUGCCACACACACUUAAAACCCCAGGGAAAUGAGUGCGGCUCAGGAGGGGGGAAGAGCGCCAACCAGGUGGGGUGUACCUAG
rnacentral:lncRNA from 12 species